rnacentral:rRNA from 1 species
UACGGAGGGUGCGAGCGUUGUCCGGAAUCACUGGGCGUAAAGGGCGCGUAGGCGGCGCGGAUAGUCGGCGGUGAAAGCCCGGAGCUCAACUCCGGGUCGGCCGUCGAUACUUCCGGGCUUGAGCACUGUAGAGGCAGAUGGAAUUCCGGGUGUAGCGGUGGAAUGCGUAGAGAUCCGGGAAGAACACCGGUGGCGAAGGCGGUCUGCUGGGCAGUUGCUGACGCUGAUGCGCGACAGCGUGGGGGAGCAAACAGGAUUAGAAUACCCUUGCUUAGUCC